rnacentral:rRNA from 1 species
UACGUAGGGUGCGAGCGUUGUCCGGAAUUAUUGGGCGUAAAGGGCGCGUAGGCGGUCUGUCGCGUCGGGAGUGAAAACUCAGGGCUUAACCCUGAGCCUGCUUCCGAUACGGGCAGACUAGAGGUAGGUAGGGGAGAAUGGAAUUCCCGGUGUAGCGGUGAAAUGCGCAGAUAUCGGGAGGAACACCGGUGGCGAAGGCGGUUCUCUGGGCAUUACCUGGCGCUGAGGAGCGAAAGUGUGGGGAGCGAACAGG